UCAUUUUGGGGAAACAGUGGAUGUUAGAACAUUACAACGACUGACUGGAGAACUUAUUAGUUUGUGCUUGACGUUGUGUGGCAAGCUGCAUGAAACUGCAUUGAAAAGAAGCCAAACAACACUGCAAAAAUUACUUGAAGAUGGCAAAUAUACAACUAUCUGACAUGGAACGGGUGGAAUCUUAUAUGAGCUGGUUGACAUUGCUUCUAGAAAUGAUGAUCUAGAAAGUGCAAAGCGUUCAUCUCGCAUUACCAGAUUAUUAAACCUUCUAUCAACAAUAAUUGGGAUUAUAAUCUUCAUUACAGUUAUAGCUUCUCGAGUAUACUGGUCGUAAAGGCCUAGAAAUUGGUUCAUGCUAGCACGAACUGACACAAGGAACUUUUCCUACGAAGACCCAUCUGAUGUUGGAUCUCAGACCUUGUUUACACGAUGCCAGGGGGCUACACAAUAUGCUGGGCAACCAGUUAACGUGCCAGAAAGUAGUAUUUGAAUUUUGGGCCACUGCUAGUAGUGGCCUCAGAUAAGUCAUAGGAGAGAGGGAAGCAAUCGGGAGCAGUAGAGAGACAUUCAGCAGGGCAGUAAGUGGUGGCUGGCAGCAGCUCGUCAUCUUAAUGUGGAGCAGAAAGGACUCCUGAAGCUCCCUAUUUCACAUUUCGGUUACAUUUUCUUUUUAUAUAACAUAUAUUUUGGGUCGCAGCUUCAGCAGUCCCUUUAAGUUAAUUGGUUAGGUCAUACAUAGAGCAUGUUUUCCUAAAUCUAGGCGGCAGUCAGCCCAAUUUUACAAAGAGUGUCUCAACUAGGCAUUAGACUGCCCUUUUUAUAUGUGCAAAAUGUCGGUUCCGGAUGCCUAAUUUUUGUGUUUACCCCUGCUUGCAGUUGCAGCCAUAUUAGGCACUUGGUUGCCCACCUUGCAUCUGAUAAAGAGGCAUGAUAUCAUCAAAUUUCUCGGCCAAAAUUUCUACACUAUCUCUCAUGAAAUGCAGUAAUGGAUUUAUAAUUAUUAAGUCUCUUGAAUUAACAUUAUCAUACACACAGGAUGCGGAGUAUGCUGACAGGUGGCAUCCGUGCCCAUAACCACUACUCAUUCAAAAGUUGACUAAUAACAAAUCAAAUCCACAUAAAUUUGAAUUACUGAAUAAUGUGAUGAUAUGUAGGCAGUGUUUGAUUCUGAGGGAUCAGAAGAUGAUUAUAAACAAUGAGGUCUUGUGUCAUGAUUUCAGAGAAAUUUUGGUACAGGUGAUCGUUUCAAUCCAUCAUACCUGUGCAUUGCUAGCUCCUUAACCAGAGCUACCUACCACAACCCCAAAUUUUUACUGUUUGCCCAUAUCACAUUAUAUGCUUCCCCUUCAGUUGUUUUAUUCUGCUACAUUUUGAUUAACUUUGAUAGCCACUUGUGCUAAUGUAAUCUGUAUUUCACUACCUUUCAUAGGAAAAUAACCUUUCAAUUUUUUCUCUCUCUGCUUCUAAAGCUGAUCAUAAUUUUAUGGUCCCUUGUUAUCAACUCACCAAUCAAUUUUCCUCUUAAACUUGUUCAGAAUUUAGCCUUCUGUUUGGUCCCCUUUAUCCUCUGUGCUAUUGUGAACACAGCACAAAUUUUCCAAUUCGAUCACCCUUAAUAUAUCCUUUCAUUUCUGGGGUAUCCUUCAAAUCAAUCUACUUUGUAUCUUUUCCGAUGUGUAUAGUGGUUUCUGUGUUGUUGCUUGAAUCACUAAAUUACAACCUUUAUUCACUGUUAAUCAUUUAACAGUCUUGAUAAAGGAAUAAAUGCAAACAUUAAAUAUGACAAAUAGCAAUUUGUAAAGUUUGUGGAUUAUAUUUGUUUAAAAGAUAUUAAUAAAGAGGCUAUUAAAUCUG